UAGGGAAUCUUCCACAAUGGGCGAAAGCCUGAUGGAGCAACGCCGCGUGUGUGAUGAAGGCUUUCGGGUCGUAAAGCACUGUUGUAUGGGAAGAACAGCUAGAAUAGGAAAUGAUUUUAGUUUGACGGUACCAUACCAGAAAGGGACGGCUAAAUACAUGUCAG
rnacentral:rRNA from 1 species